UGCGGGGAAUGCGGGGCGGCCCCGCCCGGCCCGGCCUCACCGCUGUAGCUGCCGCGACCCGCGGGGUGUGCGGGGGGAGCUGGGCGGUAACACGGGCUCGGUGGGGUCUCCUGUGAGCUGAGGUCGCUUCACCACAGCUUGUCCUGGUCUAACGAAACACACCUUGGAUAGCGUCAUGUCUGGCGUCACCUUCCUUCCACCGUCCCUUCCUUGGGGAAUCUCUGAUGUACAAAACUCCGCUUAGCAGCAGGAAGGGAAGGUAUUUUUGUCCUGAUGUCAGACUCAUGAGAUCUGGUCUCGUGUUUGAAAGUAAGGUUCGGUUUCCUUCAUUUUCUAGUCUCUCAUCCUGUAGAGUUACAACUGCAAAAUGAAAGUUAACAGCUUGGAAGAAGCCAAGCUCAUCUAGAAGUCAAAACAUCACCAUAUGUUAGUACUGCAACACAUGCAAUGUAGACAAAUCUCAUAUUGCUGUGAGUCUUAAAUCCUAAUCUACAGCAUACAUGGACCUACCCAGUGCUCCAACUGUUUGUGAAAAUGGCUGGUUUCCAGUCUUUGUUACUUUAUUUGCAGAACACCGUGACAGAUCUCAGCUAGGAGUGGAAAAAAUGUUAACUUGGCAAGUUUUUGAGGAGCUUAGAUAAUGUUUGUGUAAAUCGUUGAGGGUAAGUGGUAAUGGCAUAAUAAUCUCAAUGUACGAGCCUGUAUGGUAAGCAUAUCCUAUUCACGUAAGAUUCUGUAACAGAUAAUUGUGUAAAUGUUCUUAAUACACACAUGCUUAAGAUUUCACUGUGUAUCCUUCUCUGUCCAUUCACCCUGCAACUAGGCUGACUUGAAUAAAACAGGCUCUCAAAUGCUCAUAGUCAUCUAUCUUAAAAAAAGGUGAUUUAUCUUCAUCAAAUUCAUAUUGGACUUUAACCAACAAAAUAAUAGGAGUGAAUAGAAAUUUACUUGUCCUCUUACUACUUACAGUAAUUCUUUAUUUAUUUAAACAAACUAGAAAUUCUAAAAUUCUAACACUGAGAGAUUUGUGCAGCUUUUGUCUCGCUUGUUCUAUAAAAAUUAGUCUUUCUCAUUAACCAGGUUAAUUUUCAUUGCCCACAAUUCUUAAACAACGGUCUAUAAUUUUUUUUUCAGGUAUAUUUGGUAGCUGACAUUUCCCUGCAUCCAGUGAAUAAUACAAAACUCAAAAUACUGUAAAUAUUACCCUUCCAUUACUUUUUCACUGCGACAGCAGGAAUGCCUACAAAAUGAAAAAUGGGAGAAUGUGAUGUAGACAAUUGCUGGGGAUGCAGACACUCCUCCAUGCAACUCCUCUGCAGCAACAGUGGCCUGUAGUAUAAAAGUUUGUCAUUGUGUUGCUUUUGGCAGAUGAAGGUUCAGCAACCAGACAGACUGGAUACUGAGGGCUAGGAGGAAAUGUCUUCAAAAGGUGCCUAUCUCUGUAUUGAUUUAGGACAGGAGCCUGGAUGACUAGCUCUGAUUGGGGAGCAGACUUUUGGAUGGCUACAGUUCAGAUGGGUUCCCUCACAACUGGCAGAAUAAAAUCUCUAAAAAAUACAACUCUCCUUUCAAAAACUGUAUUUUGCAUUUGCUGUAAUGCUGGAGGAACUGGCUCUGAGCAGGAUUUAAGACACGUGAACAGCAGAAAGAUACUUCUUCAUCACUGCCUUGUAAUAUUCUCAAGUAAUGUAUGCUGGACUAGGUGACUCAUGAGCUGAAGUCUCCAUAGCCCAGCACUUGGUGCAUCACUCUGAGAAGUGCAACAAUUAAAGCAGGAGUGAAGCAUUAUGUGUGUGUAGCCCAGCUGUGUGCACUUCCUGGGAUUUGUGUUUCUGGUAUGUCAUGUGUUCCAGCCCUGUGUUUGGUGGAUUAGAGGUAAUUUCUUUAAACAAUAACAGAAAUUGUAUACUUAAUCCAAUACAUAUGACACAAAAGCAUGUACUUAGUCGAAAAUGCUGUGGUCUCAUUGGGACUGUGUUGCUAUCCACUCAUAAAAUUACUGCACUAAAAGGUAUUGGUUUAUAUUGUAGCUUCAGAAGAUACAGUCCUGUAAGAUGAUCUCCUCCCCGAUAAUUUAUAACAAUGAAACCAUUAACCAUACACAAAGAGCUGGAGAAAAUAAAAACUUUAAUGUCCUGGGAUAUAUUCUCUCUGCUUGUGCUUUUAGGCUUUAUAGCCAUUUGGGCUCGCAGGACAUUUCUGUACAAAAAUCCUUUUUCUUGAAAUUUUCAGUAUGCCCAUGAUGAGUGCAAGUAUCUGAGAUGAGCCAAAUGAUGGGUUAUUAGUUGAAACAUUAAUUAGGGAUAAUCAGUCCUUCACACUUUACUCCUCCUUUAUUUAUGUGCUACUGUUUUUUGGGUGUACCACUUGGUUAAUGUCAGGGGAAAAUGAUGGGCCAUGUUUUAAGAUUGAGUCCAGCUUCUUGUUACUAUAAGACUAAAAUUGUUCUCACAUAUCUCUUCCAUGACUUAGUUAAGUAUUUAAGUGUUUGUUACAGUUCCUGUAUGAAGGGAUUUCAAAUACUUUCAGCUAAAAGGCUAAUGCAGAAUUCUGUGAUACGUGGUUUUUCCCUCAUGCUGCAAAAAUUUGGGACUGUUAGUCUUCAACUUUUCUAUUUACCACAUCAUUCCUUUGUUGUAGAUGGCCAACUAUUUAUUUAAUAUAAUUGAAACCAAUCUCCUUUCUUUUCUCCUUUCUUCCUGCCGUAUCAGAUUCAGGUUUGUUUUCAUACUGGAUUUGUAUUACUGCAAUAUACAAACCCAGUAAUUCCUAAAUAGAAAUGUGCAUCUCCUACAAGAAUUUGUCCUUUUCUUAGUUACCUUUCUUGAAGUAAAUAGAUCUAGUAAGAACAAACAUGAAGGAGGUAUCAUAUAAUGUAAUGAAGCUCCUGCUUCCUGCUGUUGAAUGUGGUAAUGGGUGAACUUGAAGGAUUGCAGCUUGGAAAGGGGAUUGGGGAAGUCCUCUGCUCAAUUCUGAACUCUGGGAUAUACUGAAAGGUAUUUUCUAGCAAUUACUGACAGAGUGAUGUUCAAAGGAGGCUAAAAGAGAGGAAAAUAUGCCUCUGAGCAGAAGAAUGCUCAUGUAGAGUAGGAGAAAAAAAUUAUAAACCAAAUCAAAUGUGUAUUAAAAAAAAACUUAUCAGUUUAUACCUAGUAUUUAAGCAACUACAUUAUUUAGACUACACUACUGGAAAUAACAUUCUUUACCUUUUUUCUGUGUAUGUACUUAUCACAGAUUUUACAGAUUAGACUACGCAACUCUGAAAAUACAGUACAGAGUAUUAAAUUUGUUAAAUAAAACACCAUUGCAGAUAUGAAACAGGUUCCAAUUUAACAUGCAUCUCUAUGGAAAACAUCCCUGCACUCUCUCACAUAUAUAUCUAUAUAGAUAGAGAUACAUAUAUAGAUAUGUGUAUAUAUAUAAACACCACCUUAAAUUACACUUCUUGAUUACCAAAACUUGUCAGAGCAUGGCUGUCUUCUAUACAGGUAUACACAAUUUAUUGUGAAUCCGAGUUUUUCAGUCACAAACAUUAUUUUAGGAGUGCAUUUUAAUAGAAGAGCAUCUGCACUCAGGUAAUCUGACCAGCAGAUGUAAUCUAACAUUUGCAAAGAUUAUUUUGGCAUGUUAUGAGAAUAUGGAUUUGUGCCUUAUUGAUGCUUAAGGUUCAUCCCUUCUGUUCCUGUAAAUAUUCCUUUUCCAUGUAUAGCAACAAUGUUCUAGUCCAGGGAACAUGAAUGAGACAAGUUGAUUCUGUCUCCAAGUGUCCUGUUUUGUAAUCUUCCAGAAAUACAUUUCUGAUUUUUUAUUUUUUUUUUACUACUGUGAUCCUACAACAAAGUUUACUACAAUUCUUAGCUGCAUAAACAGAAGAAUGUCAACAGCAGAAGCAGAUGAAUUGUGUAGGGCAUUGAUGGAACCUUAUUGAAAAUGAUUCAGUGAAAAGCUCUAGAAAUAGUGACAGCAGAAAAUGUAUCACUGGUAUGUGUUUAGAAUCUAUUUUAGGUUGACUUAUUCAAAGAUACCAUAAUAUGCAGCUGAACCUGGGAAUAUUUAGAAGGCUGGAAAGGAGCGUGUUGAUCAUGGAGGAGUACACCCAAUAAUAACCUACUUGCUGGGGGAUGAUUAGAUGCUACUUUAAAGGUUUGUCUACGGCUUAUGUCUCAAAUUCAAAACCAGUAUUUCUAUUCUGUAAAUGGACAAGCGACAGCACAAGGUACUGGAAUCUUUUUUCUAUUUCUUCCAUUUCCUAUGGGAAACAUUUUUUUUCUUGCCUUCUGCCUUUCUUCCUCCUAGAAAGGUCUGAGUACAUAUUUAAUGUACUAGCCUUAAUUUAAAAAGAGGUGGGAUAGUUAGCAUUAAUGAGAAUACAUAAUUUGAAAGCAAAGUAAAAGUAUUUUUGCAAUCCUCCCUUUCUAGUUGCAUUACUCCAAAAGAAUUGCUUAAAUCAAAGUAUGCUGAACAGUAUUAUGUUUUGGUGUUUAUUUAAACCAAGAGUCUUCUCCUUUGUUAAAAUUGGUAUGACUGAAAUUCUUAGCUUACUGAAAGAAAUGCAGAAUUCAAAUUUUAGCUAAUUAUUUUAAAGAAGUGUCUGGAGAUCCUAACUGAGACCAGAAGAAUUUUCUUUUCAAGCUGUAUGUGAUAUGUGGAAUACAACAUCAGGAGUAUAAGGAGAGAAUUGUAAUGUCAGGUUUAAGAGAAUUUAAACAAGGCUAUUUCUCUGUACAACUGCACUAAAUUAAGAGGUAGACCUGAAGCAUCAUGAGUAAGGAGUCAACAACAGUGCUGAUAAAAGCAUAGCUUGAGACAUAUAUAUAUGUACAAAAUAAACCACAGAGUUAAUUCUAGAAGUGGAAAUGCUUUCAGUUAGACCUCCCCAAAACGGUAUCCCUCCCUGUAUUCUCAGUCCUUUAUCAAAUGCCUGUUCAUAUUCUAGUCCACUUUAUUCAUCCCUCCUUUUUCCUCCCAUAAUACUCUGCUUCUUUUCAGUUCAGUUGUUGCAAUUUUGCUUGUUUACAUAGCAUUCCUAUGAAAUACCUCACAACAAUUUCUGCUUCAUACCGAAAGAAUUCCCCCUUAAUUGCAGCAAUUCUUAAUAUUAUCAAAAGCAUGCUAAACACAACAGGUUAAAACAAGAAAUGAAGACUACAACUAAUACUGCAGAAAAAAAUCUGUGUAGGCAGCAGUCACCACAGAUGGGAUUCAUUCAGUAUACAGCUCUUAGUUCUACCACCCACACAAUCCCCAUUAUCAUUUUCUACCAAAUACACUUCAUUAGCUCUGAAGAAAUCUCUAUUGUCUUUCCCAGCAGAUCACUGAAGGCACCGUCAUGAUAUGGAUAUAAAAGUUAAGGUCAUAUCAAUUAAAAACCAUUCCUUUAUGAUUCUUUAGAAGGUCAUAAUAAUUAAGCAUAUUUUCAUUUGAUGACAACCAAUAAUAUAAUUUGAUGAACCAAUACCAAUUUUAUCCUUUAUAAGUAAAAGUAUUCUUCCUGCUAGUACUGAGCAUUAGGAUAUCAUCAUCCAGUGGUUCUCCCUGUUCCCUUUGUUUGUUUGUUCAUUUGUCCCAAUUAAUUAAGUGAUAGGAUAACCUCAAGAAAGCGAUGUGCAGUCCCAGAGGAAGGAAGCAGGGCUCUGCCUUUGCUGAAGCACAAGCUGUCAUUCCUGAUUUCUAUACAGGGUGGAGUUGUGCAUUCUUUUUAUUGCCCUGACUGUUGAUGCUGAUGACAGCUCUUCCAGGAGAGACACUGCUUUGAUCGUGUGCGUAGCUGUGGAUGAGGAGGAGACUUGCAUUGCCUCGUUAGGAGGGACACAGUGACUUAAGGAACUUGGCUGAGUAAAUGGGAGGAUUGAAAUUCUGAUUCUUCUGCCCUUUUCCUGCAUCACUCCCAGCUGCUGUGCUAUAAUCUAGUUAGAAAGCGGCUUUGCUGUAAACUGAAUCUGAUGGGUGCAAGUUAAAAUGAAAAAAAAUCCAAGUGCUUCUUUUGUUAUUUUAGAGGAAAACCACCUAAAAUUAUGCAAAAUGACCUGAUCUGAUUCACAAAUAGCUGUAUCAGCACAACUACGAGGAGCAAGGCACUGCGGUGUAGGGGUGCAAACUCCACAAGCUGGCAUAGCUGCCAGAGUGUUCGUACUGUUAAACCACAACCAAAGACAGAAUUAAAACGUCUAAAUCAUCCAUUCUUGUGGUGGUCACUUCAUUUUGAGUUAAGAGAGAGUAAUUGUUUCCAAGUACUUUGCCUGCAGCAGUGGAGUAGAUGACACAAGACUGUCUUAUUUAUGAGUUUUUAAUAAAUUACCUAUUCAGCCAUGUGGCUUUAUGUUCUUAAAAAUAUUGGCUGCUAAAUGUUAGUUGCUAAAGGUCAUGAAAUUAUAGUUUGAAGAGUUUGCUGUUCAAGCACUAUCUUGUCACUUCUUGUUCCUCCAUUUAAUGAAUUGUUAACUAACAUCUUCAAUGCCUCAGGGAAUCUCCAUCUUACUAUUCUUUCCUUCCCAGUAACGUCCCAGAUUUCUAUGAAUGAAACAAUGGAUGUUUCACACAUUGAUUUCCUCCGUUUCAGUUUAGCCAGCUGGUGGUGAUGUCACACAAAACCACCUGUGUCUAACAUGCACCUGAUACUAUUCCUCAGGGACUGGAAGUACAAGACAUUAUGUACACACCAGCUCUGUAUUGGCAUUUGUACUACAAACACUGGAUUGCUAUCAUGAUUCAGAUAAACAGGAGACUUGUUCAGCUGUUUUAGUUACUUUGGACCAUUUCCUGCAGCUUUACUCACUCUCCCAAUUAACAUGAAUACACAUUUGGGUUUCUUCCAAGUUAGCCAUUAAGGAGGGUAAGUAGGUUGGGCCUUGUGACUAAUGUUUCCUUGGCUCUGACUGUAUUUUGCUGCUCCCCUAGAGUAUUCCAUCAUAGUUUCUUAGCAUGCAGGAGAAACUCUGAGAUUCCUAAUUGUAGGACAGCACUCAAAAUGUUCUAGAAAUCCCCAAGCUCCAAAAUGAGAAAUCCCAAUUGUAAGUAAGACCCAGCAGGGAGGGGCAAAUACAAAAUAAUUGUACUGUAAAAAGACAUCUUGCAUUAGCACUGUCAUUAUUAAUACAGUUUCCUACUGCUGAGCUUUCAUGUUCUGUAUUGAUUUAAAAAAGCUACCAGUGCCACAACAAAACUUAGUCAAGAGGAUGCUGCAAUAAUGGGAUGAAGUUCUUCAACCCCUAAAGAUGUUUGUUGUUCCACUAACAUGGUAAAGGGAGUAAACAGGUUUUGUCACUGCUGAUGCCUCAUCACAGGCAACAAAUUAAGAAUGCAGUUGCUUAACUAUUUUACUACAUAAAGUUUAAAUGUAAUCCUGCUUUAGAAAUGUCAGCAAUACAAAGAGGCAGCAGCUAAAGGAAAGCAACAUGAUCCAUCAAUGUGCAGUAAGCAUAACGCUCACCAGUGUUUAGCUGUGAAUCAUGAUGAAUAUUACACCCAUGGAUUAAAGUCCUGAUCUUACAUAGUCAUUUGCAUAGCAAAUGUUCAGGAGCUGAGAAUUGUCUGUUUAGACACUUACCUAGAACAAGAAAAUAUUUUUAAGUUUGCUUUAGAAAUCACCUUAGCUAAAUUACUACAAAAGAAGAAAGGCACAUAUUCUAAAAUAAGAUUAUUCACUUCAAGGAUGAGUAUUCAUUGAAAUGUUUGUCCAUCUAGAGCUAUGCUCCAGGUGCUAGUGCUGCAAUGAAAAUUGAUUACUCUUUCCACACCUUACUGUAAAUACGAAAUGGCUCUCACAAUGCCUUAGUUUGCUUUCCUCUAUUGUGUUUUACAUUACUUCAGCACAGAGAAGCAGGAAGUAGAGACAGUACUACAGGUGCUACAUGUUAUGGGUGUGUUGAUUUCGACUUUCAAGUCAAGCCACUGACUGAAUUUCCUCCUCUGUAUGCUACUCAAGUAAAAAACCAAAACAAAACAUCUAUUUAAACAUUAACACCAGUCUUACUUCCCCUAUCUUUUGCAGAUACUUGUGUUAAGGAUCACAAAGGAUGGAAUAUUCUGUAGCCUUGAUAGAAACUCCUAACAGAGAAGCACCAAAGGAAGAACCAGUUGCAUAUGGCAUUGUUUCAGUAGAAAUUAUAAUUUUUAUAAUCCAGACACUGCUGCCCAUAUGUACUUUUUUUCCCUACUACAAAAUCAAGCAAGUCAGAUAGAAAGAAGUGUUAAGACUUGAAGCAGGUUAAAUUCACCCAGCAGUGCAGUUAAAUGUGCUCCAGGGGCAGGUCAGCAGAAGCUCUUCUUGCCUUCCAGCCCAGGAGAUCAGAAGAGCAUGUUCAUGUACCUCAGUGCCAAUGGUCUGGCUAAGGUGAAGCAAAUCCUGCAGUGAUUAAUGUUUUUUUUUCCUGGUCUGUUCGCCUGAGCUCUGUAAUUGAAAAUUACUAAAGCAGGUCAUUUGAAGUAUGUGUGGUAUCUCAGGAACUGUAACUUAGUGAUCAUAAAUUUGCAUUACAAAUGCUCUUAUAGCUCCUUACUUGGCAUGAAUUUUCAGUCUGAACUGCUUAUUAAGUAUACCACAGCUCAUUCAUCCUGUAAUUAUCACUAGCCAAAUAUCUGUUCAUUUAAGUUCCAUUUUCUUCUAGAUUUUAUUCUCUACUCCCUUCUUUUGGAUGCUAUCUAGUAGUGAGUUCUUCCGAUUUCUCAUUCAUUUUUCUGUGAUGAGGAAACAGAAAAAACCCAUACAGAAAUUAAAGAAAUUUAGCUGAUCAAAGAAAUCAGCUAAAACUGAUGAAGGAAAGGUGAAGCAAAGAAAACUGUGGAAGGUGGAAUAAAUGUCAAAAUUACAUGAAGGACAGAUGUCAACUCUUCAAAUUCAGUGAUGCUAAACUUGCCUUCUUUAAAAAAAGCUUUCAGAGAAGUAAGUCUGGUGAUUUUACUCCACUCAGUAGGUACAGCUAUUAAGCAUAAAUUUUGAAGAAAUUAAAGGCAAUAGUGUUUGGAAUGUUUAUCAUCAGCAGGUAAGGUUAUCAAGUUCCUGAGAAUUCGAAUACAAAACAUUUAAGCUAUGGCCAGAUACUGCAGUCAGGAGAUUGAAAAGCAAAACUUUAAUCAAGCUGAAGAUUUAAGAUGUUUCCGUGAAGUAGUUAAAAAGAUGUACGUAAGCAUUAAGUCAUUAAAAUGACUUAAGCCUCUUAAUCUUCUCAAAGGCAGAUUAGGCUAAAUUUAAACAAAACAUGACAUGAAGUCUAGUUUUGGUUUUACACACUAUCCUUGGUCUAGAAUUCAGUAUGCACAGUUCUGAACACUAAUUUUCGUAAGAUAGCAUAUGUUCCUACAGUCUCCAAAAUACACUUGCUAUGGAGUUCUAACAGCUGUCUUCAAAAACCACUAAUGACCCAUCCAAUAAAACAAGUAUUACUUCUACACUUUCAGGAAAAAGGAAAACUCUUUGAAGGCAGUUAAAUGUUUGUGCUCAUACCAACUGCUGCCAGUGGGUGAUUUCAUUAUUCCCUUUACAUUCUGAGGUUUUCAUAAGCUCCAAUGGCAAAUCAAAGUCCAAGUAAUAUCGAUUUUCUUAUACAAUAUGGGCAUGUUAUUACUUAUUUCUUGGCAAAACUUGUGACUAAAGGAAAAGCCUUUGAAUAAUUCCUUAACUCUACUGAAUAUGAAGGACAAAAAAAUAUACUUGUGAAUUAUGCACUUUAAAAAAAAUCUGUAAACGUUUUGCAUAGUGUUUUUCAUAACAGUCUAGUUUUUGCUUUUAAACCUUGCACAACUAAGAACUCUUUAAAAAUGUAAGGUUUAAAAUAUAAUUUUGGGUACCCUUGAUUAGUGCACCACAAGCUGACAAAAAGCUUUAACAAAAGCUUGACAAAGGGAUCAAGUCCUCAUACUUGGCAUCCUAUUAAAUGACACUUUUAAAGUAAAUAGCAAAAAAAGCUUGUAUUAGAGGGGAAAAAGG